rnacentral:rRNA from 1 species
GAUGAACGCUGGCGGCGUGCCUAAUACAUGCAAGUCGAGCGAACGGACGAGAGGCUUGCUUUUCUGAUGUUAGCGGCGGACGGGUGAGUAACACGUGGAUAACCUACCUAUAAGACUGGGAUAACUUCGGGAAACCGGAGCUAAUACCGGAUAAUAUUUUGAACCGCAUGGUUCAAAAGUAAAAGACGGUCUUGCUGUCACUUAUAGAUGGAUCCUCGCUGAAUUAGCUCGUUGGUAAGGUAACGGCUUACCAAGGCAACGAUGCAUAGCGGACCUGAGAGGGUGACCGGCCACACGGGAACUGAGACACGGUCCAGACUCCUACGAGAGGCCGCAGGAUGGAAUCUUACGCAAUUGGCGAAAGCCUGACGGAGCAACGCCGCGUCAGUGAUGAACGUCUUCGGAUCGUAAAACUCUGUUAUUAGGGAAGAACAUAUGUGUAAGUAACUGUGCACAUCUUGACGGCACCUAAUCAGAAAGCCACGGCUAACUACGUG